AACGAACGCUGGCGGCAGGCCUAACACAUGCAAGUCGAACGUGAAGCCACCUUCGGGUGGUGGAAAGUGGCAGACGGGUGAGUAACGCGUGGGAACGUGCCUUUCGGUUCGGGAUAACCCAGGGAAACUUGGGCUAAUACCGGAUACGCCCUCCGGGGGAAAGAUUCAUUGCCGAAAGAUCGGCCCGCGUCGGAUUAGCUAGUUGGUGGGGUAAAAGCCUACCAAGGCGACGAUCCGUAGCUGGUCUGAGAGGAUGACCAGCCACACUGGGACUGAGACACGGCCCAGACUCCUACGGGAGGCAGCAGUGGGGAAUAUUGGACAAUGGGCGCAAGCCUGAUCCAGCCAUGCCGCGUGGGUGAAGAAGGCCCUAGGGUUGUAAACCCCUUUCAGCGGGGAAGAUAAUGACGGUACCCGCAGAAGAAGCCCCGGCUAACUCCGUGCCAGCCGCCGCAGUAACAC
rnacentral:rRNA from 1 species